rnacentral:rRNA from 1 species
CCCUUAGAUGUUCUGGGCCGCACGCGCGCUACACUGACGAAGUCAGCGAGCAUGUCCUACGCCGACAGGUGCGGGGAAUCUUGUCAAACUUCGUCGUGAUGGGGAUUGAUUAUUGAAAUUCUUGAUCAUCAACGAGGAAUUCCUAGUAAGCGCAAGUCAGCAGCUUGCGUUGAUUACGUCCCUGCCCUUUGUACACACCGCCCGUCGCUACUACCGAUUGAAUGGUUUAGUGAGAUCUUCGGAUUGGCGCCGCUGCGGCUCAGCAAUGGGCUCGGUGGAUGCCGAAAAGUUGAUCAAACUUGAUCAUUUAGAGGAAGUAAAAGUCGUAACA